CAAUAGCGUAUAUUAAAGUUGUUGCAGUUAGAACGCUCGUAGUCGGAUUUCGGGUCGGGCCGACCGGUCUGCCGAUGGGUACGCACUGGUCGGCGCGUCCUUCCUCUCGGAGACUGUUCCUACUCUUAACUGAGCGGGAGCAGGAUACGGGACUUUUACUUUGAAAAAAUCAGAGUGUUUCAAGCAGGCAGCUCGCUCUUGCAUGGAUUAGCAUGGGAUAAUGAAAUAGGACUUUGGUGCUAUUUUGUUGGUUUCGAACACCGAAGUAAUGAUGAGAAGGGACAGUCAGGGGCACUCGUAUUCCGCCGAGAGAGGUGAAAUUCUCAGACCAGCGGAAGGCGAACCACUGCGAAAGCAUUUGCCAGGGAUGUUUUCACUG
rnacentral:rRNA from 1 species